rnacentral:tRNA from 1 species
GGCUUUAUAGUCAUGUAUAUAUGAUAUUAGACUGCAAUUCUAAAGGAGUAAUAAUUUACUAAGGCUU